UACGUAGGGUGCGAGCGUUAAUCGGAAUUACUGGGCGUAAAGCGUGCGCAGGCGGAUGAUUAAGUUAGGUGUGAAAUCCCCGGGCUCAACCUGGGAAUAGCUUUUAAGACUGGUGAUCUAGAGUUUGUCAGAGGGGGGUGGAAUUCCAAGUGUAGCAGUGAAAUGCGUAGAGAUUUGGAGGAACACCGAUGGCGAAGGCAGCCCCCUGGGAUAAAACUGACGCUCAUGCACGAAAGCGUGGGUAGCAAACAGG
rnacentral:rRNA from 1 species